rnacentral:rRNA from 2 species
GAUGAACGCUGGCGGCGUGCCUAAUACAUGCAAGUCGAACGAGUUCUCGUUGAUGAUCGGUGCUUGCACCGAGAUUCAACAUGGAACGAGUGGCGGACGGGUGAGUAACACGUGGGUAACCUGCCCUUAAGUGGGGGAUAACAUUUGGAAACAGAUGCUAAUACCGCAUAGAUCCCAAGAACCGCAUGGUUCUUGGCUGAAAGAUGGCGUAAGCUAUCGCUUUUGGAUGGACCCGCGGCGUAUUAGCUAGUUGGUGAGGUAAUGGCUCACCAAGGCGAUGAUACGUAGCCGAACUGAGAGGUUGAUCGGCCACAUUGGGACUGAGACACGGCCCAAACUCCUACGGGAGGCAGCAGUAGGGAAUCUUCCACAAUGGACGCAAGUCUGAUGGAGCAACGCCGCGUGAGUGAAGAAGGCUUUCGGGUCGUAAAACUCUGUUGUUGGAGAAGAAUGGUCGGCAGAGUAACUGUUGUCGGCGUGACGGUAUCCAACCAGAAAGCCACGGCUAACUACGUGCC